GGAAGGAUCAUUAACACUUUAUAUUAAAUCCUUCUUAAUGCCUUUGUUGAACCUGUGAUUCGUCUGUUUUUACAAUCUUUUAAAACAUUUUUAUAAUUUUUGUUUAAAAACCAAUAUAGAUUUAUCUAUAUACAUUUAACAAAAAACAACUGCUAGCAUUGGAUGUCUUGGUUCUCGCAACGAUGAAGAACGCAGCGAAAUGCGAUAAGUAAUGUGAAUCGUAGAAUUCAGUGAAUCAUCAAAUCUUUGAACGCAUAUGGCGCUUCUGGGAAUUCCCAGGAGCAUACCUGUUUGAGAAUCAUCACUUUACCUCAUUCCUAAUUCAUUUUUAGGAAUGGUAAUUGAGCGCUUCAUUUAGGGGGACUUGUUUCUCUUAAAUGUCACUCUAAGUGCAUCUAAAACUCUUUCAAGAAGUGAGUACUUCAUUUUUUUAGAAUGGCUUGCUAAGGUUGAGCUUCUCAGCCCCUUGCUAUUCUUUCAAAACAGAAAUGAUCAAUUCUUGUCUUCUGAAACUGUUUGGUCAUAAAUCCAAAAAUAACAAACCAUGAUCUCAAAUCAGGCAAGACUACCCGCUGAAUUUAAGCAUAUCAUUAAGCGGAGGAAAAGAAACUAACAAGGAUUCCCCCAGUAACGGCGAGUGAAGCGGGAAUAGCUCAAUCUUAAAAUCGAAGGGUUACGCUCUUCGAGUUGUAGAGUAUAGAGGCGUCUUCGGGGGAGUGCGCAGGUAUAAGUCCCUUGGAAAAGGGCGUCAUAGAGGGUGACAAUCCCGUUCAUGACUUGCGCAUUUUUUCCAUAUGAGGCGCUUUCGAAGAGUCGAGUUGUUUGGGAAUGCAGCUCUAAACGGGUGGUAAAUUUCAUCUAAAGCUAAAUAUUGGCGAGAGACCGAUAGCGAACAAGUACCGUGAGGGAAAGAUGAAAAGAACUUUGAAAAGAGAGUUAAAAGGGCCUGAAAUUGUUAGCAGGGAAGCGAUUAAAACUGGGCAUACGCCUUGGGAUUCGGUUUGGCUUCUGGAGGUGCCGGUGUGCUUAGCGAUCGCAAGACCUAGGUAUACCGUAGUUCUUUAGUGCCUUUCUUAUUUUCUCAGGGUGUGCGUCAGCAUCAGUUAGGAUUUCGGGAAAUGGCCUUUGGGAAGGUAGGCAGGCCUUUCGGGGUUUGCUGUUAUAGCCUAAGGGUAGCCCUGUUGACUUGACUGAGGAAAUGCAGUGCGCGCCAUGCUUGAGGUCUAUCUUUUGGGCUGUGGCACUCUUUAGGACAGCCUCGCUGUGCUUUGGGUGUCAUGGUCUACGAGGGUGGCACUUUUCAUACGCGUGCCCCAGAUGCUGACAUAACGGUUUUAACCGACCCGUCUUGAAACACGGACCAAGGAGUCUAACAUAUAUGCGAGUAUUUGGGUGGCAAUCCCAAGUGCGGAAUGAAAGUAAAAGGUGCGAGCUAGCGGGUGUACCGCCAGUGCAGCAUCGACCGGUCUGGAGGUUUUCUGAAAGAUUUGAGUAAGAGCAUAUCUGUUGGGACCCGAAGAUGGUGAACUAUGCCUGAACAGGAUGAAGCCAGAGGAAACUCUGGUGGAGGUCCGUAGCGGUUCUGACGUGCAAAUCGAUCGUCAAAUUUGGGUAUAGGGGCGAAAGACUAAUCGAACCAUCUAGUAGCUGGUUCCCUC
rnacentral:misc_RNA from 1 species